rnacentral:rRNA from 1 species
AACUCACGAGGCUGGAGAACCAAGAAAAACCUCUAAGAUAUAGCUGUGCGGAAUCCGUACCGCAAACCGACACAGGUGGACUAGCUGAGAAGGCUAAGGCGAGCGGGAAAACCUUCCUUGAGGAACUCGGCAAAUUGGCCCCGUAAGUUCGCGAGAAGGGGUGCCCUCCAAAGCUUUAUGCGGCGGGGGGUCGCAGUGACAAGGCUCAAGCGGCUGUUUAACAAAAACACAGGUCUCCGCUUAACCCGUAAGGGGAUGUAUGGGGGCUGACGCCUGCCCGGUGCCAGUAGGUUAAGGGGAUGGGUGCCCAACUUCGGUUGGAAGCUUUGAACUUAAGCCCUGGUGAACGGCAGCAGUAACUAUAACUGUUCUAAGGUAGCGAAAUUCCUUGUCGGGUAAGUUCCGACCCGCACGAAAGGCGUCACGACUUGAGCGCUCUCUUAAGGAAGGACCCGGCGAAAUUGAAAUGGCCGUGAAGAUGCGGCCUACCCACAGCAGGACAAAAAGACCCCGUGAAGCUUUACUACAGCUUGACAUUGAUUUGAUCGUCAAACCCGUGUAGCGUAGGAGGGAGCCGCAAGGCGCCAAUGAAACACCUCCCGGUUUGAUUUUCCGAUCUCACCCUGGCCGUGAUCCGGUCAGUGGACAGUGUCUGGUGGGUAGUUUAACUGUGGCAGUUGCCUCGCAAAGAGUAACCGAGGCGCCCAAAGGUCGGCUUGGUCCCGAUGGACACGGGACUGUAAGUGUAAAGGCAGAAGCUGGCUUAACUGCGAGACUGACAGGUCGAGCAGAUGCGAAAGCAGGGCUUAGUGACCUGUUCACAUCAAGUGGCAGAGUGAACAACUACGAAUAAAAGCUACUCCGGGGAUAACAGGCUGGUCUCCCCCAAGAGUCCACAUCGACGGGGAGGUUCGGCACCUCGAUGUCGGCUCGUCCUAUCCUGGGGCUGAAUAAGGUCCCAAGGGUUCGGCUGUUCGCCGAUUAAAAGGGCACGUGAGCUGGGUUCAGAACGUCGUGAGACAGUUCGGUCUCUAUCCGCUGUGGGCGUAAGAAGUUUCUGAGGGAAUCUCUCUCUAGUACGAGAGGACCGAGAGGGGCAAACCUCUGGUGUACCAGUUGUUCUACCAAGAGCAUCGCUGGGUAGCUACGUUUGCACGGGAUAAGCGCUGAAAGCAUCUAAGCGCGAAGCCCACCCCAAGAUGAGAUCUCCCCGGGACUUCGGUCCCCUGAAGGGCCGUCCGAGACGAGGACGUUGAUAGGCCGGAGGUGGAAGCGCAGCAAUGCGUGCAGCUGACCGGUACUAAUCGCCCGUGAGGCUUGACCAC